GGGACUGUGCCAGCAUUUUCUUGCUCCCAUUUCUGCAAGAUCGGAAACUGUGACUCCAUGAAUCUGUCCUCGACUCCCGAACUUUUGGAAAUGAGCAACUGAUUCUGUUCUUGCUAGUAGCGUUCUCAAAUCUACUGAGGAUUUCGCUGUUGAUUGACUAUAUAUAUAUAACCAGAGGGGAUUCGAUUGUUGGAGGUUAAAGAAUGUAUAUGGUAGAGAGUAAAGAAGGUGCCAUAGCAUGUAUGGUACUGUCGCUCUGCUUCUUGGGGACCUUCCCUGCACUUUUGACUCUCCUCGAACGACGGGGGCGACUUCCUCAACAUACUUACCUUGAUUACUCCAUAACUAACUUUUUAGCUGCUGUAAUCAUCGCUUUCACACUUGGUGAGGUUGGAAAGAGCUCAGAUGCUUCUCCAAAUUUUACCCAGCAGCUUUCUCAGGAUAAUUGGCCUUCUGUCAUGUUUGCGAUGGCGGGCGGUGUAGCAUUGAGCCUCGGAAAUCUUUCAUCUCAAUAUGCUUGGGCAUUUGUUGGUUUAUCUGUUACAGAAGUGCUCAUUUGUAGCAUAAUAGUAGUUAUAGGCUCAACAUUGAACUACUUUCUUGAUAACAAGAUUAACAAAGCUGAGAUCCUUUUCCCUGGCGUUGCUUGCUUUGUGAUUGCGGUAUGUCUUGGUUCUGCUGUUCACUCGUCCAACACGGCUGAUAACAAAGCAAAGCUGAACAGUUUGUCGGCCAAUUCCGAUAAAGAGUUGAAGCCAAUAGAUGUCGCUGGAUUUCCAAGUAGGGUUGAAUCAACAGACCCGGAGAACGCUGAUGGUUCGUUGCGAAAGGCCGAGGCUGGGACUGCAGAUUUUCUUGUUCAGCUUGAAAACAGACGAUCCAUCAAGGUGUUCGGUAAGGGCACAGUAAUUGGACUGUGCUUAACUUUCUUUGCUGGUGUUUCCCUUUCUCUGUUCUCACCUGCAUUCAAUUUGGCCACAAACGAUCAAUGGCACACUCUAAAGAAAGGUGUGCCACACUUGGCUGUCUAUACCGCAUUUUUCUACUUCUCGGCCUCUUGUUUUGUCAUAGCCAUCGUUCUCAACAUCAUCUUCCUUUACCGCCCUCUACUUAACUUACCCAAAACAACGUUCAAAGCAUAUCUGAAUGACUGGAAUGGUAGAGGAUGGGCCUUCUUGGCUGGAUUUCUGUGUGGGUUUGGCAAUGGUCUGGAGUUCAUGGGCGGCCAAGCUGCUGGAUAUGCAGCAGCUGAUUCUGUGCAGGCAUUUCCACUCGUGAGCACGUUUUGGGGAGUUGUUCUGUUUGGAGAAUACCGUCGAUCGUCGAGGAGAACAUACGUGUUGCUUGUCAGCAUGUUGUUUAUGUUUACUGCAGCUGUUGGGAUCCUAAUGGCUUCAUCAGGACAUCGAAAACCUUAGAAGAAUCAGUCAUAAGCGCAUCGCAGCAGCAGCCAAGAUUGUGUAAAUUGUUCCUUCUAAUAGUAUGAAAUAACGGAGAAGAAAUAAUGUUCCCCAAUGUUAUGUGAGUGAUUAUGGUUGAUAAAAAGAUUGUACUAUCAAGAGCAAAAAGACUCUAUAUAUAUAUAUAUAUAAAGAUAUUAAAA